AAUGGGCGAAAGCCUGACGCAGCGACGCCGUGUGAGGGAAGAAGGCCUUCGGGUCGUAAACCUCUGUCAGAGGGGAAGAACCGCCUAAGGUCGAAUAGGCCUUGGGUCUGACGGUACCCUCAGAGGAAGCGCCGGCUAACUCCGUGCCAGCAGCCGCGGUAAUACGGAGGGCGCAAGCGUUAAUCGGAAUUACUGGGCGUAAAGCGCACGUAGGCGGCAAUGUAAGUCGGUCGUGAAAGCCCUCGGCUCAACCGAGGAACUGCGGUCGAUACUGCAUAGCUAGAGUAUCGGAGAGGGUGGCGGAAUUCCGGGUGUAGGAGUGAAAUCCGUAGAUAUCCGGAGGAACACCAGUGGCGAAGGCGGCCACCUGGACGAUUACUGACGCUGAGGUGCGAAAGCGUGGGGAGCAAA
rnacentral:rRNA from 1 species